UUUUCAGAAGUGGAAAUAGCAGGUGAGGUCUUGAGGCCUGAAGAAGCAAAGGAUGAGUUAGAUGAACUCCGUGCUGAGAUGGAAGAGAUGAGAGACAGUUAUUUAGAGGAAGAUGUUUACCAGCUGCAGGAACUUCGGCGAGAACUGGACCGUGCUAAUAAAAACUGCCGAAUCCUGCAGUACCGUCUUCGGAAAGCCGAGCAGAAAAGCCUGAAAGUGGCUGAGACGGGUCAGGUGGAUGGCGAGCUUAUUCGAAGCCUGGAGCAGGACUUGAAGGUAGCCAAAGAUGUAUCUGUCAGAUUGCACCACGAACUUAAGACGGUGGAGGAAAAGCGCACUAAAGCUGAGGAUGAAAACGAAACUCUCCGACAGCAGAUGAUUGAAGUGGAAAUAUCCAGACAGGCCCUCCAGAAUGAGCUGGAGAGACUGAAAGAGAGUUCCCUAAAAAGAAGAAGCACCCGGGAAAUGUACAAGGAGAAGAAAACCUUUAACCAGGUAAGCAGAGGUUUUCAUUCUAAUGUUACAUCUCCUAUAAGUGAAGUCGACUCAUUUUGAAUUUUUUUCAGUAAGUGUUAGCUUU
rnacentral:sRNA from 1 species